ensembl:rRNA 5S_rRNA 5S ribosomal RNA
GUGUACAGUCCUGCUACCCUGAGGAAGCCCGAUCCCAUCUGAUCUUGGAAGCUAAGCAGGGUCGGGCCUGGUUAGUACUUGAACGGGAGACCACCUAGGAAAACCAGGUACUAUAGGUG